UAGGGAAUCUUCGGCAAUGGGGGCAACCCUGACCGAGCAACGCCGCGUGAGUGAAGAAGGUUUUCGGAUCGUAAAGCUCUGUUGUAAGUCAAGAACGAGUGUGAGAGUGGAAAGUUCACACUGUGACGGUAGCUUACCAGAAAGGGACGGCUAACUACGUGCCAGCAGCCGCGGUAAUACGUAGGUCCCGAGCGUUGUCCGGAUUUAUUGGGCGUAAAGCGAGCGCAGGCGGUUUGAUAAGUCUGAAGCUAAAGGCUGUGGCUCAACCAUAGUUCGCUUUGGAAACUGUCAAACUUGAGUGCAGAAGGGGAGAGUGGAAUUCCAGGUGUAGCGGUGAAAUGCGUAGAUAUAUGGAGGAACACCGGUGGCGAAAGCGGCUCUCUGGUCUGUAACUGACGCUGAGGCUCGAAAGCGUGGGGAGCGAACAGGAUUAGAUACCCUGGUAGUCCACGCCGUAAACGAUGAGUGCUAGGUGUUGGAUCCUUUCCGGGAUUCAGUGCCGCAGCUAACGCAUUAAGCACUCCGCCUGGGGAGUACGACCGCAAGGUUG
rnacentral:rRNA from 1 species